rnacentral:misc_RNA from 1 species
CUCUAAAAAUGCUGCAACCAAACUAAUUAGACGUCGGCGAAUAACAACAAUGAUCGGUGGCUCGUGCUUGAAAACGCCCACGGAAACGAAACGUAUAAUCAAGUUCAAAUCGGAAUUGCCGCAAUACUGCAGACACUAUCAUUCACAGAUAGAAAGUGAUGAAGGAGGUGUACCAACCCUGUACAACUACGGAUCAAGAUAUUGUCGAAAAGAAAGAAUGUUCUCCGUUUCGAAAAAAGCUUCAGAAGUACAUACCAAUUCUUGAAUGGCUGCCAAAUUAUCAAUGGAAAGAUCAUUUUCAUGGAGAUGUCAUUGCCGGUCUGACUGUUGGAAUUAUGCAUGUUCCACAAGGAAUGGCGUAUGCUAGUUUAGCAGGAGUACCACCAGUUUAUGGAAUGUAUUCAUCGUUUUUUGCGAGCACAAUAUACAUGUUUUUUGGUACUGCACGACAUAUUUCAAUUGGCGUCUUCGCAGUAGCUUCAAUGAUGGUAGGAGCCGCAAGACUUCGACUGGCUCCAGAUAUUCCAAUUUCCAACUCAUCUGAUAUCAAUCCUUCUGUUUAUCCCCUUGGUGAAUACGUGGAUCCUCUUGUAUUUACAAGUGCUCUCACUCUUCUUGUCGGAGUUGUUCAAAUCAUAAUGGGUAUUCUUCGUCUCGGAUUCCUUACCACAUAUCUAUCUGAUUCAUUGGUAUCUGGUUUUACAACUGGUGCUGCUGUUCAUGUUUUCACUUCACAACUCAACAAAGUGUUCGGUAUCAAAUUGCCACGUCACGAGGGAAUUGGAAUGAUUGUUCGAAUGUAUAGAGAUAUGAUAAUGUCUCUAGGAUCAGUGAACUUUGUUGCACUUGGAAUUUCUAUUUUUGGAAUACUUUUUCUUGAUUUGGGUAGAACAUACAUUAAUCCUAUUGUGAAAAAAUUUUCACCAAUUCCACCUCCACUUGAACUUAUCUUGGUCAUUUUUGGAAUUGUGAUUUCAAUGAUUUUCAAUCUCGAUGCUGAAUAUCAUGUGAAGACAGUUUAUGAAAUUCCACGUGGAUUCCCAUUGCCAUCAAUUCCACGUCUCAAUUUCCUCCCUGCACUUCUUUCUGAUGCAAUUCCAAUUGCAGUUGUCUGCUACAUGUUCGUCAUGUCCAUGGGAAAAUUGUUCGCUAAAAAGCACAAAUACAAGACAGAUGCUACUCAGGAAUUGUAUGCAAUUGGUAUUGCAAGUGCACUAUCCUCAUUCUUCCCAGUAUACCCUGUUGGCGCCUCGUUGUCUAGAUCAUCGGUUUGUGAAAUGUCAGGUGCCAAUACACAACUCUACACAAUAUUUUCUUCCUUUUUACUUCUGACCGUUAUUCUUCUAUUGGGACCAUUCCUCGAGCCACUUCCAAUGUGCAUAUUGGCGUGUAUUGUCAUUGUUAGUUUGAAAAGUCUAUUCAUGCAAGUCAAGGAAUUACCAAGGCUCUACAGGAUAAGCAAAUACGAUUUUGCAAUCUGGCUAGUCGCAUGCCUUUCAACAAUAUUCACUGAUGUUACCACUGGUUUGGUAAUUUCUCUUGCCUUCUCUCUCUACACUCUCGUUCUCCGUCAACAAUGGCCAUCGUUCUCUACAGUUUUGCAUGACGAAACUCCACGCCAAAACGUCCCUGAAAAUGUCAAAAUUGUAAAAUUCGCCGGAUCUCUUCAUUUUGCAAAUGUGACAGCGUUCCAAGAUGAUAUGGGAGAAGCUAUCGGAAAACUUCCAGAAGAAGAUCCAUUAAUUGAUGAACGAACUAUUAUCCUUGAUGCUAGUUCAGUUGCAUUUAUAGAUAUAAUGGGAGUGGAUGCUUUGCGAGAUGUUUUCAAAGAUGCUUUGAAACUUGGUGUACACGUUUUUUAUUGCGGACUCCCAGAAGAUGUACUCUCUGUUCUAUCCAAUGAUGAGAACUUUCUUUCAGUUGUACCACCUUCUACAUUCUUUCCUUCAAUUGAUAGUUGCCUCAUCUCUUUUGUACAUCAGCAAAGUGUAUAA